UACGGAGGGUGCAAGCGUUAUCCGGAUUCACUGGGUUUAAAGGGUGCGUAGGCGGGCAGGUAAGUCCGUGGUGAAAUCUCUGAGCUUAACUCAGAAACUGCCAUGGAUACUAUUUGUCUUGAAUGUUGUGGAGGUAAGCGGAAUAUGUCAUGUAGCGGUGAAAUGCUUAGAUAUGACAUAGAACACCAAUUGCGAAGGCAGCUUACUACACAAAUAUUGACGCUGAGGCACGAAAGCGUGGGGGAUCAAACAGG
rnacentral:rRNA from 1 species